GCGUUAGGGAAACGCCCGGUUACAUUCCGAACCCGGAAGCUAAGCCUUUCAGCGCCGAU
rnacentral:rRNA from 1 species